GGUUGUUUUGUAAUAUGCGAAUCAUAAUUUGAAUCAAAAUAAAACUGUGACCCAACGUGACUGAGUGAAUUAUUACAUUCCAAGUAAGUUCAUCAUCUUAUUUUAUACAGUUCUUCCUGGGAAAUGUUAAUUUUUUAUCCUCCCUUCCCUCUAAUCUUUUUUUUUCUCUUCAAUCAGAGUUCUGCCACAAUGCUCUUCUAUUCGGUCACUUGUGCAUUUAGAUUUUUUAUCGUCUUUUCAUAUCACUGCUGUUAGAAAACUGAUAAUAUUUACUAACACCUGGAAAUGCCUCCACUAACAUUUUCUGCCAGCAGACAUUUCUUCUGCUUUUUUUUCCCAGUUUUGCAAUCUUUGUAUUGAUUUUUCAAGGUAACCGUGGGGCAUCUUGAAAGGAAAAUGGUGAUUUCUGACCAUUUAGCUAACGAAAUUACCUACUGUCAUCCUAUGGAGAUAUUUGGAAGAAAAGCCUAUGGACGAAAGAGCAAGCGGUUGUGGCUUUGCCAUCUAUAGUUCCUUAAACAGCUGUGAGUGGUGACUUCUUGAAUGGGCUAUGUCAUGACCCCUUGAGAUCCAGAUGUCAAUGUUUAAAGAAAAGCUCAAGUCCUAACUCGGACAGUUAGCACUAGAGUGAUAAAUGAAUGGGAUUUUAUUAUUCUGUUAAAACUAAUUCCUUUUUUUGAGGCACGCUCUGUCCCGACACACACAAAUACAUUCAUCUGAUGCCUUUGUAUCUCCUCCUUCCACGCACACACACAUUGUUUGAAGACAAUGAAGCUAAUCGUUGUGGAACCUUCAUCUCCUGAAAUGUGGUCACAUGACUGACACGAUAACAGAAGGAGGAGGCGAUAAGCUUGAGAAGAUUCAGUGGCUGCUGGAAGGAGCACAAAACCAAAGAGGGGAGAGGAAAUGAUGGAGAGUCCACAAGCUGCCACGACUCUUUCCCGACUUGUUCAAAGGGUUGGCAACCCCCAGACCAACACAUCACAGGGUAGUCUGCACAGCGCCCAGCCUUCAAAUAAAUGCUUCUUCAUGAAUUUUUAAUCAUCUACCAUUUAGGGAUUUAAAUAAAGAUCAACUUCUUCCGGCUGCACUGCCUUCAUGUGCAUUUUAUGCACUCAAAGGGAAGUAAGCUUGCAUGAACGUGUUCAUCAGUUUUAUUUGCUGUCAGCCCCCCCACCAACCUUAAAUGUUUCCUCCUCUUUCUCUGCCCAAUCCCACCUGCCAGUGUUGUGAGCAGAAGCCCGGCAGGUUGUCUAACCCCCAGCAGAAAAUUUCCUGACUGACUGGUUGACUGGUUGGCUGGCUGAGUGGCAGCAUGUGAAGAGCAGGAGACAGAUCAGCAGGGAAUCACUGACAGAUGUAAUUAAUGAGGUCAUACUUGAAGCUGGCAGUCCCCUUCAUAUCCAAUUGCUGACGAUCACAACCCAACACACCUGCAGCUCAAACAGCAAAUAAAAAAAGAAAAUGCCCCUUUCUGCUGACAAUGAGAUAAAUGAAAGUAGGACAUUGUGUAUGUUCAAGCUACGAUUUUAUUCCUUCUGAAAUGGGGGAAAAACUUUGUAGUUUUGAGCCUUGCUCUUUUUGUUUUCUUCCUGGGAUUCAGGUGUUCCCUGUGGUGCUGAGGUUGCAUGUCAUUUUUGACAUGAGAUGAUUUGUUGUCUGAUCUAAUUUUAGCUUUCUAAAACAUUGUUGCCUCCACUUUGUAUUUAACAGUUAAAAAAAAGUUUAUUUGCAUAAAAUUGCUAUUUGACAGGGGAGUGUUUCUUUCCCUUUCACAUUAUUCAGUGCGCAUGUCCACAAAUCAGUGCAUUAAAGAUUCAACUAACACAAUACAGUCCAAUACUAUUACUUAAAUGGAUAAAAGCCACUAUUAAUUUGGCAUUUAAAACUAUAAAUGAAAAUACAUUUUAACAGAGAAACUCUUUUUGUUAUUUCUUUUUUCAAGCCACAACAAUGUAUUUGAACAACCCCUCAAAACAUUCAAACCUGGCAUUUUGGGUCUUCAAGACUGUUUUGUUAUUUAUGGUUAAAUAAAAGUUUGUCAUAUAAAUUUAUUCUCAUUUUUUCUGCAGUACUAAGAAAAAAAGGGUUAUCGUGCACAAAACACAUAUCUCUCUCACUGUGGAACACCUUUAGCCAAUUGUAAAUGACCCAACUUGGUAGAAACAAGAUUGUGAUUGAAUGUCUUUUUUUUUAAUUAAAAUACUCUUAAUUUUUUCAUUUUUACCCUUUAGAAAUGUUCAUUUUUGACCAGGGUGUCUCAAAGCAUUUUGGACUACAGUAUUAUAAAAUACUACAAUUCCAGUGAAAACAAAACAGAUGCAACUAAGAAUGCAGACAGCUGCUGGAAACAAACUGUGAAUUUUUCUAAGUGGUAGAUUACUGAAAAAAAAGGUUUAGUGACUUGAUUAAACUGGGAGAGUCGAUCUGUUUGUAUCACUGCAAAGCAUGCUCGUACAAACCCUGAGCCUCUUCCAUUAACCCCCUGACAUACUAGAAUAACGCCUGUUGUCAUAGCAACUCUAUGCAAAAAUGCCAUAAGGCUUUGACAGUUUUAGUCUCAGGAAAACCAGACAAACGUUAAUGUACAAAACAUAUAUUUUUGGCUUGUGUGAACUAAAAAGAAAAAA